UACCCCACUAUGCUUUAGCCCUAAACAUUGAUAGUUUUUUACACCUACUAUCCGCCUGGGAACUACGAGCAACAGCUUAAAACCCAAAGGACUUGGCGGUGCUUUAGACCCACCUAGAGGAGCCUGUUCUGAAACCGAUAACCCCCGUUCAACCUCACCUUUUCUUGUUCUCCCCGCCUAUAUACCGCCGUCGUCAGCUUACCCUAUGAAGGCCCCUUAGUAAGCACAAUUGGUACAACCCAAAACGUCAGGUCGAGGUGUAGCGUAUGGAAAGGGAAGAAAUGGGCUACAUUCCUUAAUUACAGGGAAUUACGAAAAUAUUACUGAAACGUGUAUCUAGAAGGAGGAUUUAGCAGUAAGCAGAAAAUAGAGCGUUCCGCUGAAACUGGCCCUGAAGCGCGCACACA
rnacentral:rRNA from 1 species